CCGAGGAAUCGCCAUUCUGUGUAUACGUGAUCUAAGUAGCAAUGUUUCGAUAGUUGUUAAGCCGCGGUCCCACGAUCGGAGGAUCUUCACAGAUGUGGUCGCAUAACUUUCACCCUUCCUUCGUGGUGCCACCCCCGUCUGUGGCAGCGGACCCACGACCGGAGAAAUCGUCAGACGGCACGCGUUCCCCUUUCGACCGCUCAAAACCCUGAGUUUCUCUGACCCCCUCCCCCCCCCCAUAGCUAAAAAAAAAUUUCCGGUUCUCUGAUGUUUAUCCAUUUACCGACAUUUUGCGUGAAGCUACAGGCGUACCACGGGGGAGUGUGAUCCCCCAGUGGGUCGGAUGUCUUAUUUAUAACCAAAUCCGUGAGGUGGCAGGUCGUUGGACCGCCCCUUUAGUGUAAUAAAGACUUUAUUUUUCUAAUAGCGAUGAAAUGCUUUAUACAACACUCUACAUGAACACCACCACAAAAGCUUUAAUUAAAAUAUUAUUAAUAUAAAUGAGCAGGAAAAUAUGCAAGAAGUAGAUUGGAGUAAAGAUAAACAAAAUAUAAGUUUAGAUUAUUUUAUUUUAGUUCAGUUUUUAACAAAAGAGAAAUCUGUAAUUUGCUAUAUUGAAAUAGUUGAGAGAAAAUAUGAGGAAGCUUUGAAUAUUUCUAGGAUAUAAUUUAUAAGGAGAAAUGAAAAAGGAAAUUUUAUUUUCCCACAAGAAACUGUCUGUUAUGUCAUUGAUGAACUAAACAUAAUUGCGACGCUGCAUCCAAUAGUUAGAUAUAACCUCUCUUCCUUUUCCUCCACCACCUCCUGAAGAUGAUAGUUUGUAUAAUCAAAAUUAUAAUCCUCCAUCUCUACCUUUUCUUCACCGAAAUCAUGAUCCUGAUUGGGUUCCAAAGAACUAUCUUGAAAAGGUUGUGGCUAUUUAUGAUUAUGCAGCUGAUAAAGAAGAUGAGCUUUCUUUCUCUGAGAAUGCAAUUAUUUAUGUUCUGAAGAAAAAUGAUGAUGGAUGGUAUAAAGGUGUAAUGAAUGGAAUAACAGGUCCUUUUCCUGGAAACUAUGUUGAACCAUGCUUAUAAAAAUAUUGAUAUAAUGGAGUGUUUUAUAAAUGAUGAAAUUGGAGAAAUUUCUGAUACCAAAGGAACAUUUGCAUAUAUCUGAAAAAGAAAUUUUGACUUUAUGAAAAAUUAUAUAUUAUUCUACAUAUUCAAUAUAUAGAAAUUUUUCAUAUUAUUCAAAGAAUAAGACAUAAAAUAAUUCACAUUAUAUUCAUUUGCAGAUUUAUGAAUAAAUCAUUCAUAAACUUCCCCACAUCUCCAAGUUUGGAUAUUUAAGUUAUCUAAAAUAAUUUGAAAAUUUUCAUAUAGGUUGACUUUAAUAUACUGUAUCAUCUUUCAGAUUGGCACUUUUCUUGAUAAUAUAAAAAAAUAGAUAAUUCUGAGAUUACUUGAAAAGUAAUAUCUUGAUUAAUUGUGAUUGUAAAUUUAUGUAAUGUUCAAAACAUUGUCUUUUCAAAAAGACACUUUUCCAUGUAUGAGGCUUAUCAGAGGAAGAGUUUUUUGAAACUCAACUUCAUUUCACUUCUCUAAUAUCUCUUGAACGAUUAAGAAUUCGUGUCAUAUUUCAAUAUGUCAUUUUCCUGUUUUACCAAAGUUUUUAGUUUUUUCCAUUCAAUUAAUUGGUUUUCAAUUUAUAUAAAACGAAUGCAUAUGAAUAUUUUACAAAAAGUCAUGUUUGUAGUAUUAAAUACUUCACAAUGGAUAUUGUUUCACUCGGUCGCUCUUUACUAGAUUAUCUUGUUGGCUCAAUGAAAGGUAUUUUUAAUAUUUUAUGCAAGAUUUAAUUAUGACUGUAAUUUAUAUGUGUGAAAAUUUUAAGAUUAAUUGUUGUACCGCCUUAUUCUUUAAAAUUGUAUGUGUUAUCUCAAAGUUAGCUGCAGAUUUUCAAAAUUACGUUUUUAGAAAAUAUUUAAUAUUGAUUUUUUUUUAUGAUUAUGUUAAUACAAGGUUUUUGAAUUUUUAGAAAUAACCUGUAAGUUUCAAGAAAUUCUUGUUUUAAAAUUUGACUAAUUUUAGAUUUUUUUAAAAAUAUAUUUUCAUAUCUUAGUUUGAAAUAGGAUAAUCUUUUAGGGAAUGUGAGAGAGAAGGAUCUCAUAUGUUAUAUUGUGUAUUAUUAUUUUUUUAAUCAAAAAGAAUAUAGCUUUUAAUACACUGAUACGCUUUUUCAAUCUAAAAAUUUGCUAGUAAUUGAAAUUAAUUUUAUGUCUUGAAAAGAAAGUGGUUUUGCUUCCUUUCAGUUUAACUAAUCCAUUUUUUUGUUGUUCUUGCAUAGUGUAUGGUUAUAUUUCUUUUGCAUGUCUGUGUUCAUUGCCGAAGUAUUGUAAAUUAAAAAAUGGUUUUGUAUAUAUUUUGAAUUUUUCUGGUUUUUAACUUGCUUUAUUCUAAGAUUAUUGAAUGAUAUUCAGAUUAUUAUGGAACCAUGAUUAUUAUAUUUUCUGCUGCUUUAUAUGUGAAACUACUACUUCAUUAUAGCAAAAUACUUAUGGGUUUUUUAGUAUUGUGCCUCAUGGUAAACAAUAUGAAAAAAAGAAACAGGAUUUCCAAUAAAAGAAACCAAAAUAAUAGUGAUUGAUUUUAAGGAUAAGAUCAGGUGUCAUUUGAAGCCACAUUAAAAGCAGAUUUAAAGUUUUUGUUACGAACGUUUCUUUCUGUGAUGCUCCCUUUUUUAUAUUUGUAAUUUUAAGAGCACAAAUUGUGUAUUCAAAAAUAAUAAGUUUAAUUUGAGAACUGCUUUAGUAUGCACUAUGAAUCUGGCAACUCUAACAAUCAAAUGGAGUAUUUUCUCUAGGAAAUUUCCAGCUUAUGUUUUUUGUUUAACUGUGCACCUACUACAUGAAUUUUAAGAGAAUUGAAAAUUAAAACUAAUUAGAAAAAGAUUAUUUAUCCAAAAAUUAAAAUAUCAAUUUAAUUUCGAGGCAAUUUCAUUACUAUGCCAAAAAUUUAAGAACAUACAUUUCGUGAGGCAUCCAUUGUGGAAAUAAAUUAAGAAGAAACGAUAUCAACACCUUAAAAUUUCAGUAAUAUCCUCAUCCUAGUAAAGAGUGAUUGGUUCAGUUUUUGAAAAUAAACCAUUUCUGUGGUAACAAAUCUGUUUCUGAAAAGAGAAAUUCAAACUUUUUCUUGAUAUCUCGACGACUUUUCAUUAGUUUGAUAAACAUUUAACAACAGAAAUUUCAUGUGCAUGUAUUGUGGAUAUAAAUUAAGAACAAGCUGUAUCUGUAUAUUUCCAUUUUAAUCAUGAUAUCAUCGUCCUAAUCGAAAAUGAUUGGUGCAGUAUUUGAGGACAACAAUCCAUUUCUUUAGUGAAAAACAGGUUUCUCAAAACGGAAAUUCGCACUUUUUCUUGAUAUUUCGAGGACAUUUUAUUAGUGCGUCAAACAUUUAACAACAUAUAUUUCGUGUGGCAUCUAUUGUGUAUAUAGAUUAAGAAAAAGUAUCUGCACCUGUCCAUUUCAAUGAUAUCAUAAUCCAAGGUGAAAACGAUGGAUUCAGUUUUUGAGAAGAAGAAGCCGUUUCUCCGGACAGAAACAAAUUUCGCAAAGUAGAUAUUCGAACUUUUUCUUGAUAUCUCGAGGACAUUUUAUUAGUAUGCCAAAUAUUUCGCGUGUCAUCUAUUGUGGAUAUAUAUUAAGAAAAAGCCAUAUCUGCGCCUUUGCAUUUCAGUGAUAUCAUCAUCCAAGUUGAAAAUAAUUGGCUCAGUUUUUGCUUGAAUAGAAGGCGGUUCUCUUGUAAGGAAGAGGUUUCGCAAAGCAGAAAUUUGAACAUUUCUUGAUAUCUCGAAGUCAUUUUAUUAGUAUGCCAAACAUUUAACAACAUACAUUUCGUGUGGCAUCUAUUGUGGAUGUAAAUUAAGAAAAAGCGAUAUCUGCACCUGUCCAUUUAAGUGAUAUCGUCAUCCAAGUUGAAAAGUAUUGGUUUUAAAUUUGAAAAUAUUAGGCCGUUUCUCUAAUAAAGAACAAGUUUCGAAAAUCAGAAAUUCAGUCUUUUUCUUGAUAUCUCGAGGACAUUUUAUUAGUAUGCCAAAUAUUUCGUGUGUCAUCUAUUGUGGAUAUAUGUUAAGAAAAAGCCAUAUCUACGCCUCUGCAUUUCAGUGAUAUCAUCAUCCAAGUUGAAAAUAAUUGGCUCAGUUUUUGCUUGAAUAGAAGGCAGUUCUUUUGUAAGGAACAAGUUUCGCAAAGCAGAAAUUCGCAUUUUUUCUUGAUAUCACGAGGACAUUUUAUUAGUGCGCCAAACAUUUAACAACAUAUAUUUCGUGUGGCAUCUAUUGUGUAUAUAAAUUAAGAAAAAGCAUCUGCACCUGUCCAUUUCAAUGAUAUCAUAAUCCAAGGUGAAAACGAUUGAUUCAGUUUUUGAGAAGAAGAAGCCGUUUCUCUGGACAGAAACAAAUUUCGCAAAGUAGAUAUUCGAACUUUUUCUUGAUAUCUCGAGGACAUUUUAUUAUUAUGCCAAAUAUUUCGUGUGUUAUCUAUUGUGGAUGUAUAUAAAGAAAAAGCCAUAUCUGCGCCUUUGCAUUUCCGUGAUAUCAUCAUCCAAGAUGAAAAUAAUUGGUUCAAGUUUUAUUUGUAGGCGGUUCUCUUGUAAGGAAGAGUUUUGCAAAGCAGAAAUUUGAACUUUUCUUGAUAUCUCGAUGUCAUUUUAUUAGUAUGCCAAACAUUUAACAACAUACAUUUCGUGUGGCAUCUAUUGUGGACGUAAAUUAAGAAAAAGCGAUAUCUGCACCUGUCCAUUUAAGUGAUAUCGUCAUCCAAGUUGAAAAGUAUUGGUUUUAAAUUUGAAAAUAUUAGGCCGUUUCUCUAAUAAAGAACAAGUUUCGAAAAUCAGAAAUUCAUUCUUUUUCUUGAUAUCUCGAGGACAUUUUAUUAGUAUGCCAAAUAUUUCGUGUGUCAUCUAUUGUGGAUAUAUAUUAAGAAAAAGCCAUAUCUACGCCUCUGCAUUUCAGUGAUAUCAUCAUCCAAGUUGAAAAUAAUUGGCUCAGUUUUUGCUUGAAUAGAAGGCAGUUCUCUUGUAAGGAACAAGUUUCGCAAAGCAGAAAUUCGCAUUUUUUCUUGAUAUCACGAGGACAUUUUAUUAGUGCGCCAAACAUUUAACAACAUAUAUUUCGUGUGGCAUCUAUUGUGUAUAUAAAUUAAGAAAAAGCAUCUGCACCUGUCCAUUUCAAUGAUAUCAUAAUCCAAGGUGAAAACGAUUGAUUCAGUUUUUGAGAAGAAGAAGCCGUUUCUCUGGACAGAAACAAAUUUCGCAAAGUAGAUAUUCGAACUUUUUCUUGAUAUCUCGAGGACAUUUUAUUAUUAUGCGAAAUAUUUCGUGUGUCAUCUAUUGUGGAUGUAUAUAAAGAAAAAGCCCUAUCUGCGCCUUUGCAUUUCAGUGAUAUCAUCAUCCAAGAUGAAAAUAAUUGGUUCAGUUUUUGUUUGAAGGCGGUUCUCUUGUAAGGAACAGUUUUGCAUAGCAGAAAUUUGAACUUUUCUUGAUAUCUCGAUAUCAUUUUAUUAGUAUGCCAAACAUUUAACAACAUACAUUUCGUGUGGCAUCUAUUGUGGACGUAAAUUAAGAAAAAGCGAUAUCUGCACCUGUCCAUUUAAGUGAUAUCGUCAUCCAAGUUGAAAAGUAUUGGUUUUAAAUUUGAAAAGAUUAGGCCGUUUCUCUAAUAAAGAACAAGUUUCGAAAAUCAGAAAUUCAGUCUUCUUGAUAUCUCGAGGACAUUUUAUUAGUAUGCCAAAUAUUUCGUGUGUCAUCUAUUGUGGAUAUAUAUUAAGAAAAAGCCAUAUCUACGCCUCUGCAUUUCAGUGAUAUCAUCAUCCAAUUUGAAAAUAAUUGGCUCAGUUUUUGCUUGAAUAGAAGGCAGUUCUCUUGUAAGGAACAAGUUUCGCAAAGCAGAAAUUCGCAUUUUUUCUUGAUAACACGAGGACAUUUUAUUAGUGCGCCAAACAUUUAACAACAUAUAUUUCGUGUGGCAUCUAUUGUGUAUAUAGAUUAAGAAAAAGCAUCUGCACCUGUCCAUUUCAAUGAUAUCAUAAUCCAAGGUGAAAACGAUUGAUUCAGUUUUUGAGAAGAAGAAGCCGUUUCUCUGGACAGAAACAAAUUUCGCAAAGUAGAUAUUCGAACUUUUUCUUGAUAUCUCGAGGACAUUUUAUUAUUAUGCCAAAUAUUUCGUGUGUUAUCUAUUGUGGAUGUAUAUAAAGAAAAAGCCAUAUCUGCGCCUUUGCAUUUCCGUGAUAUCAUCAUCCAAGAUGAAAAUAAUUGGUUCAAGUUUUAUUUGUAGUCGGUUCUCUUGUAAGGAACAGUUUUGCAAAGCAGAAAUUUGAACUUUUCUUGAUAUCUCGAUGUCAUUUUAUUAGUAUGCCAAACAUUUAACAACAUACAUUUCGUGUGGCAUCUAUUGUGGACGUAAAUUAAGAAAAAGCGAUAUCUGCACCUGUCCAUUUAAGUGAUAUCGUCAUCCAAGUUGAAAAUUAUUGGUUUUAAAUUUGAAAAGAUUAGGCCGUUUCUCUAAUAAAGAACAAGUUUCGAAAAUCAGAAAUUCAGUCUUUUUCUUGAUAUCUCGAGGACAUUUUAUUAGUAUGCCAAAUAUUUCGUGUGUCAUCUAUUGUGGAUAUAUAUUAAGAAAAAGCCAUAUCUACGCCUCUGCAUUUCAGUGAUAUCAUCAUCCAAGUUGAAAAUAAUUGGCUCAGUUUUUGCUUGAAUAGAAGGCAGUUCUCUUGUAAGGAACAAGUUUCGCAAAGCAGAAAUUCGCAUUUUUUCUUGAUAACACGAGGACAUUUUAUUAGUGCGCCAAACAUUUAACAACAUAUAUUUCGUGUGGCAUCUAUUGUGUAUAUAGAUUAAGAAAAAGCAUCUGCACCUGUCCAUUUCAAUGAUAUCAUAAUCCAAGGUGAAAACGAUUGAUUCAGUUUUUGAGAAGAAGAAGCCGUUUCUCUGGACAGAAACAAAUUUCGCAAAGUAGAUAUUCGAACUUUUUCUUGAUAUCUCGAGGACAUUUUAUUAUUAUGCGAAAUAUUUCGUGUGUCAUCUAUUGUGGAUGUAUAUAAAGAAAAAGCCCUAUCUGCGCCUUUGCAUUUCAGUGAUAUCAUCAUCCAAGAUGAAAAUAAUUGGUUCAGUUUUUGUUUGAAGGCGGUUCUCUUGUAAGGAACAGUUUUGCAUAGCAGAAAUUUGAACUUUUCUUGAUAUCUCGAUAUCAUUUUAUUAGUAUGCCAAACAUUUAACAACAUAUAUUUCGUGUGGCAUCUAUUGUGGACGUAAAUUAAGAAAAAGCGAUAUCUGCACCUGUCCAUUUAAGUGAUAUCGUCAUCCAAGUUGAAAAGUAUUGGUUUUAAAUUUGAAAAGAUUAGGCCGUUUCUCUAAUAAAGAACAAGUUUCGAAAAUCAGAAAUUCAGUCUUCUUGAUAUCUCGAGGACAUUUUAUUAGUAUGCCAAAUAUUUCGUGUGUCAUCUAUUGUGGAUAUAUAUUAAGAAAAAGCCAUAUCUACGCCUCUGCAUUUCAGUGAUAUCAUCAUCCAAUUUGAAAAUAAUUGGCUCAGUUUUUGCUUGAAUAGAAGGCAGUUCUCUUGUAAGGAACAAGUUUCGCAAAGCAGAAAUUCGCAUUUUUUCUUGAUAACACGAGGACAUUUUAUUAGUGCGCCAAACAUUUAACAACAUAUAUUUCGUGUGGCAUCUAUUGUGUAUAUAGAUUAAGAAAAAGCAUCUGCACCUGUCCAUUUCAAUGAUAUCAUAAUCCAAGGUGAAAACGAUUGAUUCAGUUUUUGAGAAGAAGAAGCCGUUUCUCUGGACAGAAACAAAUUUCGCAAAGUAGAUAUUCGAACUUUUUCUUGAUAUCUCGAGGACAUUUUAUUAUUAUGCCAAAUAUUUCGUGUGUUAUCUAUUGUGGAUGUAUAUAAAGAAAAAGCCAUAUCUGCGCCUUUGCAUUUCCGUGAUAUCAUCAUCCAAGAUGAAAAUAAUUGGUUCAAGUUUUAUUUGUAGGCGGUUCUCUUGUAAGGAACAGUUUUGCAAAGCAGAAAUUUGAACUUUUCUUGAUAUCUCGAUGUCAUUUUAUUAGUAUGCCAAACAUUUAACAACAUACAUUUCGUGUGGCAUCUAUUGUGGACGUAAAUUAAGAAAAAGCGAUAUCUGCACCUGUCCAUUUAAGUGAUAUCGUCAUCCAAGUUGAAAAUUAUUGGUUUUAAAUUUGAAAAGAUUAGGCCGUUUCUCUAAUAAAGAACAAGUUUCGAAAAUCAGAAAUUCAGUCUUUUUCUUGAUAUCUCGAGGACAUUUUAUUAGUAUGCCAAAUAUUUCGUGUGUCAUCUAUUGUGGAUAUAUAUUAAGAAAAAGCCAUAUCUACGCCUCUGCAUUUCAGUGAUAUCAUCAUCCAAGUUGAAAAUAAUUGGCUCAGUUUUUGCUUGAAUAGAAGGCAGUUCUCUUGUAAGGAACAAGUUUCGCAAAGCAGAAAUUCGCAUUUUUUCUUGAUAACACGAGGACAUUUUAUUAGUGCGCCAAACAUUUAACAACAUAUAUUUCGUGUGGCAUCUAUUGUGUAUAUAGAUUAAGAAAAAGCAUCUGCACCUGUCCAUUUCAAUGAUAUCAUAAUCCAAGGUGAAAACGAUUGAUUCAGUUUUUGAGAAGAAGAAGCCGUUUCUCUGGACAGAAACAAAUUUCGCAAAGUAGAUAUUCGAACUUUUUCUUGAUAUCUCGAGGACAUUUUAUUAUUAUGCGAAAUAUUUCGUGUGUCAUCUAUUGUGGAUGUAUAUAAAGAAAAAGCCCUAUCUGCGCCUUUGCAUUUCAGUGAUAUCAUCAUCCAAGAUGAAAAUAAUUGGUUCAGUUUUUGUUUGAAGGCGGUUCUCUUGUAAGGAACAGUUUUGCAUAGCAGAAAUUUGAACUUUUCUUGAUAUCUCGAUAUCAUUUUAUUAGUAUGCCAAACAUUUAACAACAUAUAUUUCGUGUGGCAUCUAUUGUGGACGUAAAUUAAGAAAAAGCGAUAUCUGCACCUGUCCAUUUAAGUGAUAUCGUCAUCCAAGUUGAAAAGUAUUGGUUUUAAAUUUGAAAAGAUUAGGCCGUUUCUCUAAUAAAGAACAAGUUUCGAAAAUCAGAAAUUCAGUCUUCUUGAUAUCUCGAGGACAUUUUAUUAGUAUGCCAAAUAUUUCGUGUGUCAUCUAUUGUGGAUAUAUAUUAAGAAAAAGCCAUAUCUACGCCUCUGCAUUUCAGUGAUAUCAUCAUCCAAUUUGAAAAUAAUUGGCUCAGUUUUUGCUUGAAUAGAAGGCAGUUCUCUUGUAAGGAACAAGUUUCGCAAAGCAGAAAUUCGCAUUUUUUCUUGAUAACACGAGGACAUUUUAUUAGUGCGCCAAACAUUUAACAACAUAUAUUUCGUGUGGCAUCUAUUGUGUAUAUAGAUUAAGAAAAAGCAUCUGCACCUGUCCAUUUCAAUGAUAUCAUAAUCCAAGGUGAAAACGAUUGAUUCAGUUUUUGAGAAGAAGAAGCCGUUUCUCUGGACAGAAACAAAUUUCGCAAAGUAGAUAUUCGAACUUUUUCUUGAUAUCUCGAGGACAUUUUAUUAUUAUGCCAAAUAUUUCGUGUGUUAUCUAUUGUGGAUGUAUAUAAAGAAAAAGCCAUAUCUGCGCCUUUGCAUUUCCGUGAUAUCAUCAUCCAAGAUGAAAAUAAUUGGUUCAAGUUUUAUUUAUAGGCGGUUCUCUUGUAAGGAACAGUUUUGCAAAGCAGAAAUUUGAACUUUUCUUGAUAUCUCGAUGUCAUUUUAUUAGUAUGCCAAACAUUUAACAACAUACAUUUCGUGUGGCAUCUAUUGUGGACGUAAAUUAAGAAAAAGCGAUAUCUGCACCUGUCCAUUUAAGUGAUAUCGUCAUCCAAGUUGAAAAGUAUUGGUUUUAAAUUUGAAAAGAUUAGGCCGUUUCUCUAAUAAAGAACAAGUUUCGAAAAUCAGAAAUUCAGUCUUUUUCUUGAUAUCUCGAGGACAUUUUAUUAGUAUGCCAAAUAUUUCGUGUGUCAUCUAUUGUGGAUAUAUAUUAAGAAAAAGCCAUAUCUACGCCUCUGCAUUUCAGUGAUAUCAUCAUCCAAGUUGAAAAUAAUUGGCUCAAUUUUUGCUUGAAUAGAAGUCAGUUCUCUUGUAAGGAAACGGUUUCGCGAAGCAGAAAUUCGCAUUUUUUCUUGAUAUCACGAGGACAUUUUAUUAGUGCGCCAAACAUUUAACAACAUAUAUUUCGUGUGGCAUCUAUUGUGUAUAUAGAUUAAGAAAAAGCAUCUGCACCUGUCCAUUUCAAUGAUAUCAUAAUCCAAGGUGAAAACGAUUGAUUCAGUUUUUGAGAAGAAGAAGCCGUUUCUCUGGACAGAAACAAAUUUCGCAAAGUAGAUAUUCGAACUUUUUCUUGAUAUCUCGAGGACAUUUUAUUAUUAUGCCAAAUAUUUCGUGUGUCAUCUAUUGUGGAUGUAUAUAAAGAAAAAGCCAUAUCUGCGCCUUUGCAUUUCAGUGAUAUCAUCAUCCAAGAUGAAAAUAAUUGGUUCAAGUUUUGUUUGUAGGCGGUUCUCUUGUAAGGAACAGUUUUGCAAAGCAGAAAUUUGAACUUUUCUUGAUAUCUCGAUGUCAUUUUAUUAGUAUGCCAAACAUUUAACAACAUACAUUUCGUGUGGCAUCUAUUGUGGACGUAAAUUAAGAAAAAGCGAUAUCUGCACCUGUCCAUUUAAGUGAUAUCGUCAUCCAAGUUGAAAAGUAUUGGUUUUAAAUUUGAAAAGAUUAGGCCGUUUCUCUAAUAAAGAACAAGUUUCCAAAAUCAGAAAUUCAGUCUUUUUCUUGAUAUCUCCAGGACAUUUUAUUAGUAUGCCAAAUAUUUCGUGUGUCAUCUAUUGUGGAUAUAUAUUAAGAAAAAGCCAUAUCUACGCCUCUGCAUUUCAGUGAUAUCAUCAUCCAAGUUGAAAAUAAUUGGCUCAGUUUUUGCUUGAAUAGAAGGCAGUUCUCUUGUAAGGAACAAGUUUCGCAAAGCAGAAAUUCGCAUUUUUUCUUGAUAACACGAGGACAUUUUAUUAGUGCGCCAAACAUUUAACAACAUAUAUUUCGUGUGGCAUCUAUUGUGUAUAUAGAUUAAGAAAAAGCAUCUGCACCUGUCCAUUUCAAUGAUAUCAUAAUCCAAGGUGAAAACGAUUGAUUCAGUUUUUGAGAAGAAGAAGCCGUUUCUCUGGACAGAAACAAAUUUCGCAAAGUAGAUAUUCGAACUUUUUCUUGAUAUCUCGAGGACAUUUUAAUAUUAUGCCAAAUAUUUCGUGUGUCAUCUAUUGUGGAUGUAUAUAAAGAAAAAGCCAUAUCUGCGCCUUUGCAUUUCAGUGAUAUCAUCAUCCAAGAUGAAAAUAAUUGGUUCAAGUUUUGUUUGUAGGCGGUUCUCUUGUAAGGAACAGUUUUGCAAAGCAGAAAUUUGAACUUUUCUUGAUAUCUCGAUGUCAUUUUAUUAGUAUGCCAAACAUUUAACAACAUACAUUUCGUGUGGCAUCUAUUGUGGACGUAAAUUAAGAAAAAGCGAUAUCUGCACCUGUCCAUUUAAGUGAUAUCGUCAUCCAAGUUGAAAAGUAUUGGUUUUACAUUUGAAAAGAUUAGGCCGUUUCUCUAAUAAAGAACAAGUUUCGAAAAUCAGAAAUUCAGUCUUUUUCUUGAUAUCUCGAGAACAUUUUAUUAGUAUGCCAAAUAUUUCGUGUGUCAUCUAUUGUGGAUAUAUAUUAAGAAAAAGCCAUAUCUACGCCUCUGCAUUUCAGUGAUAUCAUCAUCCAAGUUGAAAAUAAUUGGCUCAGUUUUUGCUUGAAUAGAAGGCAGUUCUCUUGUAAGGAACAAGUUUCGCAAAGCAGAAAUUCGCAUUUUUUCUUGAUAACACGAGGACAUUUUAUUAGUGCGCCAAACAUUUAACAACAUAUAUUUCGUGUGGCAUCUAUUGUGUAUAUAGAUUAAGAAAAAGCAUCUGCACCUGUCCAUUUCAAUGAUAUCAUAAUCCAAGGUGAAAACGAUUGAUUCAGUUUUUGAGAAGAAGAAGCCGUUUCUCUGGACAGAAACAAAUUUCGCAAAGUAGAUAUUCGAACUUUUUCUUGAUAUCUCGAGGACAUUUUAAUAUUAUGCCAAAUAUUUCGUGUGUCAUCUAUUGUGGAUGUAUAUAAAGAAAAAGCCAUAUCUGCGCCUUUGCAUUUCAGUGAUAUCAUCAUCCAAGAUGAAAAUAAUUGGUUCAAGUUUUGUUUGUAGGCGGUUCUCUUGUAAGGAACAGUUUUGCAAAGCAGAAAUUUGAACUUUUCUUGAUAUCUCGAUGUCAUUUUAUUAGUAUGCCAAACAUUUAACAACAUACAUUUCGUGUGGCAUCUAUUGUGGACGUAAAUUAAGAAAAAGCGAUAUCUGCACCUGUCCAUUUAAGUGAUAUCGUCAUCCAAGUUGAAAAGUAUUGGUUUUACAUUUGAAAAGAUUAGGCCGUUUCUCUAAUAAAGAACAAGUUUCGAAAAUCAGAAAUUCAGUCUUUUUCUUGAUAUCUCGAGGACAUUUUAUUAGUAUGCCAAAUAUUUCGUGUGUCAUCUAUUGUGGAUAUAUAUUAAGAAAAAGCCAUAUCUACGCCUCUGCAUUUCAGUGAUAUCAUCAUCCAAGUUGAAAAUAAUUGGCUCAGUUUUUGCUUGAAUAGAAGGCAGUUCUCUUGUAAGGAACAAGUUUCGCAAAGCAGAAAUUCGCAUUUUUUCUUGAUAUCACGAGGACAUUUUAUUAGUGCGCCAAACAUUUAACAACAUAUAUUUCGUGUGGCAUCUAUUGUGUAUAUAGAUUAAGAAAAAGCAUCUGCACCUGUCCAUUUCAAUGAUAUCAUAAUCCAAGGUGAAAACGAUUGAUUCAGUUUUUGAGAAGAAGAAGCCGUUUCUCUGGACAGAAACAAAUUUCGCAAAGUAGAUAUUCGAACUUUUUCUUGAUAUCUCGAGGACAUUUUAUUAUUAUGCCAAAUAUUUCGUGUGUUAUCUAUUGUGGAUGUAUAUAAAGAAAAAGCCAUAUCUGCGCCUUUGCAUUUCCGUGAUAUCAUCAUCCAAGAUGAAAAUAAUUGGUUCAAGUUUUGUUUGUAGGCGGUUCUCUUGUAAGGAACAGUUUUGCAAAGCAGAAAUUUGAACUUUUCUUGAUAUCUCGAUGUCAUUUUAUUAGUAUGCCAAACAUUUAACAACAUACAUUUCGUGUGGCAUCUAUUGUGGACGUAAAUUAAGAAAAAGCGAUAUCUGCACCUGUCCAUUUAAGUGAUAUCGUCAUCCAAGUUGAAAAGUAUUGGUUUUAAAUUUGAAAAGAUUAGGCCGUUUCUCUAAUAAAGAACAAGUUUCGAAAAUCAGAAAUUCAGUCUUUUUCUUGAUAUCUCGAGGACAUUUUAUUAGUAUGCCAAAUAUUUCGUGUGUCAUCUAUUGUGGAUAUAUAUUAAGAAAAAGCCAUAUCUACGCCUCUGCAUUUCAGUGAUAUCAUCAUCCAAGUUGAAAAUAAUUGGCUCAGUUUUUGCUUGAAUAGAAGGCAGUUCUCUUGUAAGGAACAAGUUUCGCAAAGCAGAAAUUCGCAUUUUUUCUUGAUAACACGAGGACAUUUUAUUAGUGCGCGAAACAUUUAACAACAUACAUUUCGUGUGGCAUCUAUUGUGUAUAUAGUUUAAGAAAAAGUAUCUGCACCUAUCCAUUUUAAUGAUAUCAUAAUCCAAGGUGAAAACGACUGAUUCAGUUUUUGAGAAGAAGAAGCCGUUUCUCUGGACAGAAACAAAUUUCGCAAAGUAGAUAUUCGAACUUUUUCUUGAUAUCUCGAGGACAUUUUAUUAUUAUGCCAAAUAUUUCGUGUGUCAUCUAUUGUGGAUAUAUAUUAAGAAAAAGCCAUAUCUGCGCCUUUGCAUUUCAGCGAUAUCUUCAUCCAAGAUGAAAAUAAUUGGUUCAGUUUUUGUUUGAAUUCGGUUCUCUUGUAAGGAACAGUUUUGCAAAGCAGAAAUUUGAACUUUUCUUAAUAUCUCGAUUUCAUUUUAUUAGUAUGCCAAACAUUUAACAACAUACAUUUCGUGUGGCAUCUAUUGUGGAUGUAAAUUAAGAAAAAGCGAUAUCUGCACCUGUCCAUUUAAGUGAUAUCGUCAUCCAAGUUGAAAAUGAUUGGUUCUAAAUCUGAGGAGUAGAGGCCGUUUCUCUAAUAAAGUACAAGUUUCGAAAAUCAGAAAUUCGAUCUUUUUCUUGAUAUCUCGAGGACAUUUUAUUAGUAUGACAAAUAUUUCGUGUGUCAUCUAUUGUGGAUGUAUAUGAAGAAAAUGCCAUAUCUGCUCCUUUGCAUUUCAAUGAUAUCAUUAUCCAAGUUGAAAAUAAUUGGCUCAGUUUUUGCUUGAAUAGAAGCCACUUCUCUAAUUAGGAACAGGUUUCGCAAAGCAGAAAUUCGAACAUUUUCUUGAUAUCUCGAGGACGUUUCAUUAAUAUCCCAAACAUUUGACAACAUAUAUAUCGUGUGGCACCUAUUGUGGAUCUAAAUUAAGAAAAAGCAAUAUCUGCAGCUUUCUAUUUCAGUGAUAUCCUCAUAAUAGUAAAAUAUGAUUGGUUCAGUUUUUGAGUAGGAGAAGCCAUUUCUCUGGUGAGAAACUGGCCUCCCAAAACAGUAAUUCGAACUUUCUGUUGGUAUCUCUCAACAAAAUAAAAGCUGAAAUUACCUUCAAUUUAACAUAAAAUAAUAAGCAGAUUGUUGAAAUGCUUUUUUUGUUACAUUAAUUUUGAAACUGUAAGUCGAAUAAUUUCUGAAAAUAUUUUUUAGACAUCUAUCAUAAAAUGUUUAUCUGGAUUUAAAUUUUAAUAGAUUUAUUUAAUUUUUAAUAGAUUUAAGAAAAGUUCAAAAAUGCGGUUUGUUCAUUGAAUUUUAAUCAUCUCCCAUUUAGUAAUUGCAGAUGAAAAUCAAAUUAAUGAAGAAUAUUUUUUAAGUUAAGAUGUAGAAUAAUUUUAAUUAUGAGGAAUUCGAUUAAUAUUAAUACUUUUUUUUAUAAAUGUUUAUCUGAUUAAGAAAUAUCUUAUUGAUAUUCAAUAUGUGAAAUAUGUUUGUGUUUUUUAUAUAUGGUUCCCAUAAUUACAAUUGUCUGUGGGCUGUUUUUUUUUUCUCCGCAAGAAAAUUUGCAAAACUAUUUUUUAAUAGUUUAAUUUAGCAAAAAUUGUUUUUAAAGGAUGCAGCUUGAAUCUUUUUAUUUCAAACUCCUAUUAUUAUUUGUAUCGUAUUCGUAUUAUAAUAUUACGAUAUCGAAUAAUAAUCGAGUUUAAUAUUUGUAAUAAUCGUAAUAUUAUUUGUGUAACUUUUUUCUAUUUAAUUUUGAAGAAAAUAUUUUGCUGUCAUUUAAAAAGGGUUUGAAACAUAUGUAUUAUUAUUGUAAUUUCGCAGCUGUAUGUUGACCAUGCUAUUUGUUAUACAUAUACCUAUAUUUCUCUGAGGAUAUGAAAUAUAUGUAAUGUUAGUCUAUGCUUACUGUAUAAUUGAAAAUUCAAAUAAAAAAAUAGU